UGCCAGCCGCCGCGGUAAUACGGAGGGUGCUAGCGUUAUUCGGAAUUACUGGGCGUAAAGCGAGCGUAGGCGGUUAAUAAAGUUGGGAGUGAAAGCCCGGGGCUCAACCUCGGAACUGCUCUCAAAACUCAUUAACUAGAAUUUGGUAGAGGAUAGUGGAAUUCCUAGUGUAGAGGUGAAAUUCGUAGAUAUUAGGAGGAACACCAGUGGCGAAGGCGACUAUCUGGACCAACAUUGACGCUAAGGCUCGAAAGCGUGGGGAGCAAACAGGAUUAGAUA
rnacentral:rRNA from 1 species